rnacentral:lncRNA from 1 species
CACAGGUCCCAGAGCGGAGUUCCACUGUGCCAAGGGGCCGAUUUCUGGAGAUAUGGUGGUCCGUAGGGAGUAAUCAAGAGGACCAAUGACAAGAAGAUGAUCCAGGUGGAAUAUGAACCAUGGCUGGGGCCAGCUGGAUAUAAAGGGUCACCUGAAUCUGUGCUUACACACACCCAUCAGGAGGGUACAAUCCUGCUGGUUCACUGCAUCACAGCCAGAACUAGCAGGUGCUGUAGAAAGUGGUCUCUCUCUCAAUCUAAGACAGUCCAAAAUGAUAAAUAUGGAAAUAAUGAAGACAUGGGAAAAUGAACUACUACUAAACAUCCCCAUUUGCUUAUCCUGUGAAAAAUAAAUAAGGACACCUGGCUGGGAUUUUUGUUGUAGGAAUGUGUUCCUAAUUAGCUAGGCUGUAUUGUCAGACUCCUCAAUAAUGUGCCUGAGGAAAGUAUCAGCACUCCAAAAAUGUCAACAGAAAGAAGAAGAGAAUUCUAAGAACAAUUCUGAGCCAUUCUACCGGUUCUACUAGAAACCAUCAAAGGUGAGGAGAACAUUUAGAAUAUUCAGAUUUAUUAAUCCCAGAGGGUUUUUUUCUAAAUUGUGUUGCUAAUACAUAUACAUGCAUAUGUAUGUAUAAAACAUGAUACCUACAGGGUGUGUGACCCUAAGCAUGUGACUUAACCUCUUAAUGCCCUAGCCAACUGCCUAAGACUAUUUAAAAUUGAAAAGAAUGUUCUGAUCUGUAUUGAUAGAAAUUCCUUGCUGAAAGCUAGCUAUACCCAUUAAAUCAUAGGUCUGGUCAGAAAAAUAAUUAAAUGGAAUAUUAAUACAAUACAACCUCAAUUAUUUUAUAUUUUGUAGAUCACAUUCUAUUUCCUUAAACUUCUCAGUUUUGCUGGAAGAUAGAUUAUGCAUAGCAGUUUUUGGAUAGAGAGGAUCACAGAAGAAAAAAUGAAUAAUUUUGAUUACAGUAAAGUUUUUGGGUUUUUUUUUAAUACAAACUGGUACAGCUAAGAUUAAAAAAGGAAACAGUUAACUGGGGGGGAAUCUUUAGAGCAAGUUUCUUUGAGAAAGGUCCCAUUUCCAAGAUAUAUUAGGAACUGAUUCAAAUUUGUAGGAAUAAGAGCCAUUCUCCAAUUGAUAGAUGGCCAAAGGAUAUGGACAGGUAGGUCUAAAGGGAAGAAGCCCAGACUAUAACCAUAUGAAAAAAAGAAAUGCUCCAAAACGCUAAAAAUUAGAGAAAUGCAAAUUAAAGCAAUUCUUCUGUUCCAUUUUACACCCGUCCGUCUGGCAAAGAUGAUAAAAAGAAAAAUGAAAAAAGUGACAAAUAUUGGAGGGAAUUUGAGAAAACAGGC